rnacentral:rRNA from 1 species
GGUAAUACAGAGGGUGCAAGCGUUAAUCGGAAUUACUGGGCGUAAAGACGCGCGUAGGUGGUUUGUUUAAGUUGGAUGUGAAAUCCCCGGGCUCAACCUGGGAACUGCAUCCAAAACUGGCAAGCUAGAGUAGGGUAGAGGGUGGUGGAAUUUCCUGUGUAGCGGUGAAAUGCGUAGAUAUAGGAAGGAACACCAGUGGCGAAGGCGACCACCUGGGCUCAUACUGACGCUGAGACACGAAAGCGUGGGUAGCAAACAGA